rnacentral:rRNA from 1 species
UAGGGAAUCUUCCGCAAUGGACGAAAGUCUGACGGAGCAACGCCGCGUGAGUGAGGAAGGCCUUCGGGUCGUAAAGCUCUGUUGCCAGGGAAGAACGCCUUGUAGUUCACUGCUACAAGGGUGACGGUACCUGAGAAGAAAGCCCCGGCUAACUACGUGCCAGCAGCCGCGGUAAUACGUAGGGGGCGAGCGUUGUCCGGAAUUAUUGGGCGUAAAGGGCGCGCAGGCGGUUCUUUAAGUCAGGUGUAUAAGCCCGGGGCUCAACUCCGGGACGCACCUGAAACUGGGGGACUGGAGUGCAGGAGAGGAGAGCGGAAUUCCACGUGUAGCGGUGAAAUGCGUAGAGAUGUGGAGGAACACCAGUGGCGAAGGCGGCUCUCUGGCCUGUAACUGACGCUGAGGCGCGAAAGCGUGGGGAGCAAACA